ACAGAAAGCUCAAAUCAACGGUCGUGUCGUGAAAAUUGGGCAAAGCACCGUGUGAAAACGCUAAAAUUCCUCGAACGAAAUUGAUUUGUGCGUGUGUGUCCAUGGUUAUUAGAGUGCAUUUGAUCUAAAGCAAAGUAUUAGAGAAUUGCAGAGUGCAUUUUGGAUUCACGGCCACACAAAGGUUUUCCAAGUUGCCAAAAACGUUGUCUGGAAGGGACAUUUGUGCCAUUGUGUUUAUGCGCGUGUGUGUGCCUGUUUGUGUGUGAAAAAUCCGCCCUUAACAGCAGCCAGCCAGCAAGGAUCCCGAAGCUAAGCCAAGUCAAACUUUGAAACCACGGCGCGACUUGAACCACCCGAGCGUUGAUGGCUGCCACCAAAAUCAUCGAUGCACCGCGCAACGGCCACGAGAUGGCUCCAUUGAACACAAGGGCACGGGGCGAUGGGACCCACGGCGUGACCAUCGUCCUGACCGCCCCGCAGCGCAACUCGGUACAGUCGGUGGACAUUCCGGGCGGAGAUCCGGAGCGGGCCGCCUGGAGUGGCAAGAUGCAGUUCUUCCUCAGCAUCAUCGGCUACUCGGUGGGCCUGGGCAACAUCUGGCGCUUUCCCUACCUGUGCCAACAGAACGGCGGCGGUGCAUUCCUGAUACCGUUCAUGAUUAUGCUGAUACUGGAGGGGAUACCACUCUUCCUCAUCGAACUGGGCAUGGGGCAGCGCAUGCGGCUGGGCGCGUUGGGGGUGUGGAACACCAUCCAUCCGUGGCUGGGCGGCAUCGGCAUCUCGUCGUGCAUUGUGACGCUGUUCGUGGCCCUGUACUACAACGUCAUCAUCACGUGGGUCUUCUUCUACCUCUUCAACAGUUUUCGGUACCCCCUGCCCUGGUCAACCUGUCCGACGAACGGCACUGGAUUCGCGCUUGAAGAGUGCGCCAAGUCGUCGGAGACAACGUACUUCUGGUACCGCACCACCCUGGACGCCGCCCCGUCCAUGGACGAGCCCGGCGGCCUCAAGUGGUGGAUUGUGCUCUGCCUGAUGCUCUCCUGGACCAUCGUCUUCUUCAUCGUGAUGAAGGGCAUCCAGAGCUCCGGCAAGGUGGUCUACUUCACCUCGCUCUUCCCCUACAUCGUCCUCACCAUAUUCUUCAUCCGCGGCAUAACCCUGCGCGGCGCUGGCGCUGGUCUAAUGCACAUGUACACGCCGAAGGUGGAAAAGCUGCUGGAGCCAACGGUGUGGCUGGACGCGGCCACCCAGGUCUUUUACUCGUUUGGCCUCGCCUUCGGCUCGCUAAUAGCCUUCGGGAGCUACAACACGCCGAAGAACAACUGCGUCCGCGACGUCCUGCUGGUGUCCGUCUGCAAUGCAGUCACAGCCAUCUACGCGAGUGUCGUCAUCUUCGCCAUUCUCGGCUUCAAGGCCACCAUGAACGUGGAUCGCUGUGUGGCAAGCAACACGGACAUCCUCGUUAGGCAUGCGUUUCUGGAAAACAAGAACGCCACCACCCUGGAGUACGAGCAUGCGAUGGACAAGCUGAACGACACGGAGAAGACCCUCUUUCAGCUGAGCGAGUGCACCCUAUCCAAGGAGCUGGACAAUGCCGCCGAGGGAACGGGCUUGGCCUUCAUCGUGUUCACCCAGGCAAUUGUGGAGCUGCCGGGCGCCCCCUUCUGGGCCGUGCUCUUCUUCACCAUGCUGCUGUCGCUGGGACUGGGCUCGCAGAUCGGCAUCUUGGAGGGCAUGCUGUGCACCCUCUUCGACAUAGACAUUAUCAAGCGGGUUAAGAAACAGCAUGUCACUGGCGUGGUAUGUCUAUUCUGCUUUACUGUCGGUUUCAUCUUCUGCACAGGUGCCGGGGAGUACUGGCUCAAGAUGUUCGAUUCUUUUGCCGGCACCAUUGGCCUGGUGGUGGUGGCCCUGAUGGAGAUGAUCGCCGUUAUCUUUAUCUACGGACACGAGCGCUUCACUGAGGACAUCUAUCAGAUGACUGGCUACAGACCCGGCCUCUACUGGCAGCUUACAUGGCGCUACAUUGGGCCCGUAAUCAUGGUCUGCAUCCUGGCCUCGUCCAUCGUCUUUAUGGUAAUCCGCAAUCCCACAUACGGAGCUUGGAAUGCCGAAUUGGGUGUGGUGGAGCAGAAGGAAUACCCCAGGUGGGUCAUGGGCAUCGCCCUGUCGAUGAUCAUGGCCGGCGUCCUGCCCAUGCCCAUUGUGUUCCUCAUGCGCAGCUUCCAGUGCCUGAAGGUGGACCUGGACAUACACCAGGGAUCGAUCCGGCGCAACGAGACAACCGCCUCUACCAAGGAGAUGAUUGACAACGACGACGAUAAUAUGAGUCCGGAUAUGCCACCGCAAGAUUCAUUAGCGGCGACACGCUUCACAAUUGGAGACUUCGAAGUAAGUUGUGUCUUGUCCUGGUCAGCCAUCCCCCAAUCCCCCAAUCCCCGGAUCCCACACUCCCCACUCCCGCCACAUGCACCUCUCUCUAUAGACACUAACGCUAAUCACACAAUUCUCUGCUCUUCUUCCCCCUAUGCUCCUGUGUCCACUCUCAUUGGUCAAUGUUUAGAAUUAGAACGAACCGAAACGAAACCCUGGAAACGUUGUUAAUUAAGUGCUGCGCCAAGUUUUAAAGAUCCUCCAGAAAUUACUUAGAAAACCAAACAGAAAACAUAAAACAGAACCCAGUUAAUCCCUAAGAUAACACGAAAAGUAGUUAGCUCUAAUGCUCAUUCGCAUGGCCCCACACCAAAAGACACCAAAAGACACCGAUCACCGAUCACUGAUCACCGAACUAAGGACAGUGCUAAAUUCCACGCGCCGUGUGCCCAAAAACUGCGUAGUAGCCAAACCAAACAGAGAAUGCUCAUUCCUCAGAUACUCCCUCAACUACUCAAUCCAAUCUCAAAACCACUAAGAACUAACCAACGCACAGAAAUUUCUCGUAGCUAGCAAUCAAAUCAACAAAUCAACAAAUCAGCAAAUGCAAAUCAAUGCUUUUUAAAACUGACAUAGAAAUAUAUUUAAAUUAAAUUCAAUAUUAAGCCAGCGAUAAGGGCCAGGCCAGGACAAUUAUUUACAAACGUUAUGUUUAGGGAAAAGACUAGCUAAAUCGCUUGAGCAGGUAGGGGCCUGAGAGGGCUCAGCAGAUAUAAGUAGGGCAAUGAGUGUAUAUAUAAAUGAAAUGGUCAGAUACAGGCAGUCAGUCCAGUCCACACAGAAGGCAGUACAGUACUUUAAUUGGCGGUCCAGCGAGGCAAAUUUACAGGAGGACGAUGAGAACGAUUUCAGCGGACCCGCCCUGGGUGGCCACGUCAAGACCCAGAGCG